rnacentral:sRNA from 1 species
GUCCCGAUCAUGUGGCGCGCCGCCUCU